ACCCACCCUCAGGCACCUGGGGUCCCAUUCUCUCCCUCACAGCACCCAGGGAUUAACACAACUCCAUCCUCACCUCCCUCUCACUUCUUCCUGCUCCGUAAUACUUUCCCGUGCCACUCUGCUUCAUUGCUUGUCUCCUGCAAUUGCCUGGCUUUAGAAACAGUUUUAUCUGAGCAGAACUAUGCCUCCUGUGGGAAGUGUAAAUAUAGAAAGAUGACAACAUGUGCAUUAAUGCUCGUUAGAAUGUCAUCAUUAUAUUCUGCAAAGUGUCUGCUGAAGGGAUCCCUAAAGGACACUUAGAAAUGAAGCAGCUGCUCCGGAUUUGUUCCAGCUCACAUCUUGAAGAAAAUGACAUUGAGAUAAAUACAGCGUUGUGAGCAUCUUCUGAGCAGAAGGAGAAAGAAGAGAGAGGAGGAUCUCCCUUUGUAACAGUCCCAAAGCAGGACCAAGGCACGCUCCAAACUUCCUCACUCUCUGCCUAUUUAACGUUAAUCCCAUCCUGCAAUGUCCAAUGGUUGGGGUGGUACUGCGGCAGCUCUCACCCACCUGCAUGGCAGUGCACACAGAGAAGGAGAAACCUAGAGAAAUUAAAGUGCUUUCUGUGGAAUACACCUCCGACUUCGUUAUCUUUGGCCACGAGCUUUUCUUCUGCUGUCAAAGCUAACGAGACACUGGCAUGGAGCAGAGCGUUAGUUGCAAGAAAACACUGCUCUAUUUCUUUCCAAACCUUUCAAGGUUUUGGAACUCCAGCCAAAAAGGCUCGAGCUUCACAUUUAUAGAAACACUGUAAGACAACAGAGCCUGUGGGGAUUUUGUGUUCUUUGCAAAAAAACAAAGGGAAGAAAUAAAAAUCUAAAAGAGAGCAUCUAUAUGACCAAACUCUCACAU
ensembl:lncRNA